rfam:Schistosoma haematobium scaffold1621_11, whole genome shotgun sequence.
AUCCAGCUGAUGAGUCCUAAAUAAGACGAAAUGUACGUCCUGGAU